UACGUAGGGGGCAAGCGUUGUCCGGAAUUAUUGGGCGUAAAGAGCGUGUAGGCGGCCAGAUAAGUCCGCUGUGAAAUCUCGAGGCUCAACUUCGAGCUGUCGGUGGAAACUAUCUGGCUAGAGUCCGGAAGAGGAGAAUGGAAUUCCUGGUGUAGCGGUGAAAUGCGCAGAUAUCAGGAAGAACACCCGUGGCGAAGGCGGUUCUCUGGGACGGUACUGACGCUGAGGCGCGAAAGCGUGGGGAGCGAACAGG
rnacentral:rRNA from 1 species